GAGGGAAGACGGCCUAUGGGUUGUAAACCUCUUUUUUCAGGGAGGAAUCAAUGACGUGUACCUGAAGAAUAAGCAUCGGCUAACUCCGUGCCAGCAGCCGCGGUAAU
rnacentral:rRNA from 1 species